GGAUCCAGACUUUGAUUCUGGCUCAGGACGAACGCUGGCGGCGCGCCUAACACAUGCAAGUCGAACGAGCGAGAGAGAGCUUGCUUUCUCGAGCGAGUGGCGAACGGGUGAGUAACGCGUGAGGAACCUGCCUCAAAGAGGGGGACAACAGUUGGAAACGACUGCUAAUACCGCAUAAGCCCACGACCCGGCAUCGGGUAGAGGGAAAAGGAGCAAUCCGCUUUGAGAUGGCCUCGCGUCCGAUUAGCUAGUUGGUGAGGUAACGGCCCACCAAGGCGACGAUCGGUAGCCGGACUGAGAGGUUGAACGGCCACAUUGGGACUGAGACACGGCCCAGACUCCUACGGGAGGCAGCAGUGGGGAAUAUUGCACAAUGGGGGAAACCCUGAUGCAGCGACGCCGCGUGGAGGAAGAAGGUCUUCGGAUUGUAAACUCCUGUUGUUGAGGAAGAUAAUGACGGUACUCAACAAGGAAGUGACGGCUAACUACGUGCCAGCAGCCGCGGUAAAACGUAGGUCACAAGCGUUGUCCGGAAUUACUGGGUGUAAAGGGAGCGCAGGCGGGAAGACAAGUUGGAAGUGAAAUCCAUGGGCUCAACCCAUGAACUGCUUUCAAAACUGUUUUUCUUGAGUAGUGCAGAGGUAGGCGGAAUUCCCGGUGUAGCGGUGGAAUGCGUAGAUAUCGGGAGGAACACCAGUGGCGAAGGCGGCCUACUGGGCACCAACUGACGCUGAGGCUCGAAAGUGUGGGUAGCAAACAGGAUUAGAUACCCUGGUAGUCCACACUGUAAACGAUGAUUACUAGGUGUUGGAGGAUUGACCCCUUCAGUGCCGCAGUUAACACAAUAAGUAAUCCACCUGGGGAGUACGACCGCAAGGUUGCAACUCAAAGGAAUUGACGG
rnacentral:rRNA from 1 species